UACGGGGGGAGCAAGCGUUGUUCGGAUUUACUGGGCGUAAAGGGCGCGUAGGCGGCGUAACAAGUCACUUGUGAAAUCUCCGAGCUUAACUCGGAAAGGUCAACUGAUACUGUGCGACUAGAGUGCGGAAGGGGCAACUGGAAUUCUUGGUGUAGCGGUGAAAUGCGUAGAUAUCUGCAGGAACACCCGUGGCGAAAGCGGCGCGCUGGACCACUACUGACGCUGAGGAACGAAAGCUAGGGGAGCAAACAGG
rnacentral:rRNA from 1 species